rnacentral:rRNA from 1 species
UACGUAGGGCGCAAGCGUUAUCCGGAAUUAUUGGGCGUAAAGAGCUCGUAGGCGGUUUGUCGCGUCUGCCGUGAAAGUCCGGGGCUCAACUCCGGAUCUGCGGUGGGUACGGGCAGACUAGAGUAAUGUAGGGGAGACUGGAAUUCCUGGUGUAGCGGUGAAAUGCGCAGAUAUCAGGAGGAACACCGAUGGCGAAGGCAGGUCUCUGGGCAUUAACUGACGCUGAGGAGCGAAAGCAUGGGGAGCGAACAGG